rnacentral:rRNA from 1 species
GACGAACGCUGGCGGCGUGCUUAACACAUGCAAGUCGAACGGAAAGGCCCUGCUUUUGUGGGGUGCUCGAGUGCCGAACGGGUGAGUAACACGCGAGUAGCCUCCCCUUUACUUUGGGAUAACUUCAGGGAACUGGAGCUCAUACCGGAUAGGAGCUCCUGCUGCAUGGGGUGGGAUGGAAAGAUACGGCGGUUGGGGAUUGACUCGCGGCUUAUCAGCUUGUUGGUGGGGUAGUGGCUUACCAAGGCUUUGACGGGUAGCCGGCCUGAGAGGGUGACCGGGCCCAUUGGGACUGAGAUACGGCCCAGACUGCUACGGGAGGCAGCAGUGGGGAACAGUGCACGCUGGGCGGAAGCCUGAUGCAGCAACGCCGCGUGCGGGAUGACGGCCUUCGGGUUGUAAACCGCUUUCGCGUGUGACGAAGCGUGAGUGACGGUAAUGGGUAAAGAAGCAACGGCUAACUACGUG